AGAGUUUGAUCCUGGCUCAGGAUGAACGCUAGCGGCAGGCUUAACACAUGCAAGUCGAGGGGCAGCGCGUGGCGGCAACGUCAUGGCGGCGACCGGCGGAAGGGUGCGUAACGCGUGAGCGACAUGCCCGUUGCCCGUGGACAACCGGUGGAAACGCCGACUAAUCCACGAUGGGACGAGUUGCUGCAUGGCAGCUCGUUGAAAGUUACGGCGGCGACGGAUUGGCUCGCGUCCGAUUAGCUUGUUGGCGGGGUAACGGCCCACCAAGGCUACGAUCGGUAGGGGUUCUGAGAGGAAGGUCCCCCACAAUGGAACUGAGACACGGUCCAUACUCCUACGGGAGGCAGCAGUGAGGAAUAUUGGUCAAUGGGCGGAAGCCUGAACCAGCCAUGCCGCGUGCGGGAAGGAGGCCCUAUGGGCUGUGAACCGCUUUUGCCUGGGGGCAAUAAGGGCGCCGUGCGCGCCCGAUGAGAGUACCAGGCGAAUAAGCAUCGGCUAACUCCGUGCCAGCAGCCGCGGUAAUACGGGGGAUGCGAGCGUUAUCCGGAUUCAUUGGGUUUAAAGGGUGCGUAGGCUGUGCGUCAAGUCGGGGGUGAAAUUCCGGUGCUCAACACCGGGGCUGCCCUUGAUACUGUCGCGCUGGAGUGCGGAUGCCGCCGGAGGAAUGAGUGGUGUAGCGGUGAAAUGCUUAGAUAUCACUCAGAACACCGAUUGCGAAGGCAUCUGGCGAAUCCGUAACUGACGCUGAGGCACGAAAGCGUGGGGAUAGAACAGGAUUAGAUACCCUGGUAUUCCACGCCGUAAACGAUGAUGGCUAACCGCCGGCGGCAUACAGUCGGUGGCCAAGCGAAAGCGAUAAGCCAUCCACCUGGGGAGUACGUCGGCAACGAUGAAACUCAAAGGAAUUGACGGGGGCCCGCACAAGCGGAGGAACAUGUG
rnacentral:rRNA from 1 species